rnacentral:ncRNA from 1 species
GCACUUUGAAAAGAGGGUUAAACAGCACGUGAAAUUGUUAAAAGGGAAGCGCUUGUGACCAGACUUGCGCCCGGUGAAUCACCCAGCUCUCGCGGCUGGGGCACUUUGCCGGCACAGGCCAGCAUCAGCUUGCCGUCGGGGACAAAAGCUUCGGGAACGUAGCUCUCUUCGGGGAGUGUUAUAGCCCGUUGCAUAAUACCCUUCGGCGGGCUGAGGUACGCGCUCCGCAAGGAUGCUGGCGUAAUGGUCAUCAGCGACCCGUCUUGAAACACGGACCAAGGAGUCAACCUUAUGUGCGAGUGUUUGGGUGUUAAACCCCUACGCGUAAUGAAAGUGAACGCAGGUGAGAGCUUCGGCGCAUCAUCGACCGAUCCUGAUGUU